UACAGAGGGUGCGAGCGUUAAUCGGAAUUACUGGGCGUAAAGCGUGCGUAGACGGUUAUUUAAGUCGGGUGUGAAAGCCCCGGGCUCAACCUGGGAAUUGCAUUCGAGACUGAAUAGCUAGGGUACGGUAGAGGGAAGCGGAAUUUCCGGUGUAGCGGUGAAAUGCGUAGAUAUCGGAAGGAAGACCAGUGGCGAAGGCGGGUCUCUGGACAGUUCCUGACGCUGAGGCACGAAGGUCAGGGGAGCAAACGGG
rnacentral:rRNA from 1 species